CAUACCUCACCUCGGGCCCAUUUGACCUCAUUGAUCCUAUGGCAGAUGUCAAAGUUCUACCCGAGGUAGCAGCAUUCAUUACCUUAACAAAGGACUACCAGCUAGGUUCAGAACAUUUCAAAUACUUCUCCAAUUGGAAGGUACUUCUUUGGGCUAUUGCAUGUCUAAUACAUAUUGUACAAAACCUACAAAGGAGAACUGGUCAAAGAUGCUGGGAUUUGUAAAAGAUGGCAUUGUUGUUCAAUACCAUAUAGUGUAGACGAAUUGAGUCAAGCCGAAAACGCCAUCAUUCGUGCUGUUCAUCAGGAAGCUGUUGCUGAGGAAUUAUGAUGCAUCAAGGAUAACAAGAAUAUCUCGAAUAGCAGUCCUCUCUUCACACUGAAUCCCCUCAUAGAUGAGAAGGGACUUAUAAGCAUCGGUGGUCAUAUGUCUCGAGCGAACACUGGAUUCAACGAGAGCAAUCCCAUCAUUAUCCCAUGGCGACAUCACAUUGCAAUAGUAGAUGUAGUAUCUUGUGAUACCUGACAGGGGAGUGUGUUGUCAUAUGUGAUAUUAGAGUAAAAGAUAUGCUGGCCCUUUAAGAGUUGCAGCUUGUUGAUGAUGUUAUCAAUGGUAGACCAGCUUCAGUCUGUUUCCCUGGGAAGUUAUUAGUCUCUUGUUGUGGUUCUUCAAAUCUUAAGCCAUCUGCUACAUUUCUUGACUUUCGGAAGUAUCGUUGUUUUGCCCUACUUCCAGUCAUCCAUUAAACGAAGUGAAAGUUACAGAGGUGUCCUACAUGACGUUACCUGUGCUGAAGAGUGUUUAUGCUGAAGCGUGUGCUAACGUGUGUGUUCCUGUGUUACAUACAGUAUU